AUUGAACGCUGGCGGCAUGCUUUACACAUGCCAGUCGAACGGCAGCGCGGGCUUCGGCCUGGCGGCGAGUGGCGAACGGGUGAGUAAUACAUCGGAACGUGCCCAGUAGUGGGGGAUAGCUCGGCGAAAGCCGGAUUAAUACCGCAUACGACCUGAGGGUGAAAGCGGGGGAUCUUCGGACCUCGCGCUAUUGGAGCGGCCGAUGGCAGAUUAGCUAGUUGGUGGGGUAAAGGCCUACCAAGGCGACGAUCUGUAGCUGGUCUGAGAGGACGACCAGCCACACUGGGACUGAGACACGGCCCAGACUCCUACGGGAGGCAGCAGUGGGGAACUUUGGACAAUGGGCGAAAGCCUGAUCCAGCAAUGCCGCGUGUGUGAUGAAGGCCUUCGGGUUGUAAAGCACUUUUGGCGGGAACGAAAAGGACUGUGCCAAUACCACGGUUCGAUGACGGUACCCGCAGAAUAAGCACCGGCUAACUACGUG
rnacentral:rRNA from 1 species